rnacentral:rRNA from 1 species
UACGGAGGGUGCAAGCGUUAUCCGGAAUCACUGGGUUUAAAGGGUGCGUAGGCUGGAAGAUAAGUCAGUUGUGAAAGGUAGCAGCUUAACUGUUAAAGUGCAAUUGAUACUGUCAUUCUUGAAUAUAGUUGAGGUAGGCGGAACGUGACAUGUAGCGGUGAAAUGCAUAGAUAUGUCACAGAACACCGAUUGCGAAGGCAGCUUACUAGGCUAUAAUUGACGCUGAGGCACGAAAGCGUGGGGAGCGAACAGG